rnacentral:rRNA from 1 species
GACGAACGCUGGCGGCGCGCCUAACACAUGCAAGUCGAACGGAGCUGAGAGAAGCUUGCUUUUCUUAGCUUAGUGGCGAACGGGUUAGUAACGCUUGAGUAACCUGCCCUGGAGUGGGGGACAACAGUUGGAAACGACUGCUAAUACCGCAUAAGCCCACGAUCCGGCAUCGGAUUGAGGGAAAAGGAUUUAUUCGCUUCAGGAUGGACUCGCGUCCAAUUAGCUAGUUGGUGAGGUAACGGCCCACCAAGGCGACGAUUGGUAGCCGGACUGAGAGGUUGAACGGCAACAUUGGGACUGAGACACGGCGCAGACUCCUACGGGAGGCAGAAGUGGGGGAUAUUGAACAAUGGGGGAAACACUGAGGCAGCGACGCCGCGUGGAGGAAGAAGGUUUUCGGAUUGUAAACUCCUGUCGUUAGGGACGAUAAUGACGGUACCUAACAAGAAAGCACCGGCUAACUACGUG